UAACGCGUGGGUAACCUGCCUUACACUGGGGGAUAACACUUANAAAUAGGUGCUAAUACCGCAUAACGUNCGGAUGGNACAUCCUGUCUGUACCAAAGAUUUAUCGCUCGAAGNUGGGCUCGNGUCCGAUUAGGUAGUUGGUGAGGUAACGGCCCNCCAAGCCNACNAUCGGUAGCCGGACUGANAGGUUGAACGGCCNCNUUGGGACUNANACNCGGCCCANACUCCUACGGGAGGCAGCNGNGGGGGAUAUUGNNCAANGGGGGAAACCCUGAUGCANCGACNCCNCGNGNGGGAAGACGGUCUUCUGGAUUGUAAACCNCUGUCCCCAGGGACGAAAAUGACGGUACCUGGGGAGGAAGCUCCGGCUAACUACGUGCCAGCAGCCGCGGUAAUACGUAGGGAGCAAGCGUUGUCCGGAAUUACUGGGUGUAAAGGGAGCGUAGGCGGGGAUGCAAGUUGGGUGUCAAAACUACCGGCUCAACCGAUAGUCNCACUCAAAACUGCAGCUCUUGAGUGAAGUAAAGGCAGGNGGAAUUCCUAGUGUAGCGGUGAAAUGCGUAAAUAUUAGGAGGAACACCAGUGGCNAANGNGGNCUGCUGGGNUUUUACUGACGCUGAGGCUCGAAAGUGUGGGGAGCAAACAGGAUUAGAUACCCUGGUAGUCCACACCGUAAACGAUGAUUACUAGGUGU
rnacentral:rRNA from 1 species